GACGAACCGUGCGAACGUUAUUCGGAAUCACUGGGCUUAAAGCGCGUGUAGGCGGGACGGCACGUCGGUCGCUGAAAUCCCCCGGCUUAACCGGGGAACUGGCGUCGAUACGACCGCCCUGGAGGGGCGUAGGGGGACCUGGAACUUCCGGUGGAGCGGUGAAAUGCGUAGAGAUCGGGCGGAACACCAGCGGCGAAGGCGGCAUCCUGGUCCUGUACUGACGCUGAGGCGCGAGAGCGUGGGGAGCGAACUGG
rnacentral:rRNA from 1 species